GCUAGUAGAAUGCCACGCGAAUUUAACUGAAAAUUCUACUAACACCAAGAAAUCAUAUUCAUGCAUGCUCAUUCUCUUUCGUGUCUCUCAGCUUGUCUGACAAACCAGGAGCAAUUGUUAUUGAACUUUGAAAGUACGGAGAGAACUCCUCAAAGUCCAUUUUCUGAAGCCUUUUUUAGUAUAUAGGUUAAAAAGAUCGAUUUUAGUGGCAUCACAUACACUGUAACUUUACAAACAUAUAUAAAUAAUCUUUCAAAUAGUUACUUUGUAUCAUUUGGGAUUUUGAAAAUUCACAACAAUAUCUACCAAUCAGGGUACAAAUACCUAUAGGUAGGUAUGGCCACGGUUCCAGAACCGCCGGUUCUGGUUCUUCAAAGAUAUAGAACCAGAACCGCAUAGUUCUGAUUUCGGUUCCUUAUGGUUCUGGUUCUGGUUCCGUAUAGUUGUAUACAAUUUUAUUUAAUUCUUUAUCCCUACUAAUUUUAAUACGAAUAUAACAAUAUAUUUAAAAUUUCAAAUAUAAUGUACAAAAAUAAAUACAAAAUAAAGAUCAUAUUUUAAUUUUAUUAUUAUUCUACAAAGUAAGAAGUAAUAAAUAGACAAUACAAAUUUUAUGAAAAGUACAUUAUAUUGUCAAAUUAAAAAAUAUAUUACACUAUCAAAUGGUUGUCAUGUAUUGACUCUCUUGAGUUGGACAAUCAUCAAUGUUGAAGAUUUCAUUUGAAGAAAUAUUGCAAAAAAUAUUUUUUUGCUUGCUUGAUUUUGAAGAUGAGCUACUACCAUCAAAACUUGCCAUUUUUUGAUAGCAAAUAAGCAAAAAAAAAAAAUUGUAAGUAAUAAUUUAAUACUUACAAAUUAUAAUGAUAGAUAUUAGACGAAUAGAAAUAAUUAAAUAAUUAGUAAAAUAUAUAGAAAGUCCAUAAAAUUUAACCUUUCUUAAAACCUAUUAAACACAACUAACUUUUUUGAAUUAUCUCACUACUUAUAUUAAUUAUUUUUAAACCAGCUGUUCUGGUUCUGGUUCUAUUUUUUAGAGAACCAGAACUGAACCUUUAUCCAAAGUUCUGCCAAGGUUCUGGUUCCAUAGUUCUGGUUCCGGUUCUAGUCCGGUUCCAAAUGGAACUGACAGGUGCCGAACCUGUGCAAUAAUAAAUACCUACUCGAGAAAAAUACAGAUUUUGUAUAUAGCGGUGAGUAGGGUCGAAUCCACAGGGACUGGGGAUAAUUCGUUUCUUUUAGAGUCCAAAGUAUGGGGGGUUUUGGAUUGAAUGCUAACUAAAUAAAUUAACUGCAGAAAAUAAUUAAUUAAAAGAGAUAAUUGGAGAAACUCUAGCCAAGGGUACACUUCAGAAAUGGUUCAUGCACUGAUCAUUGAUUCACAGAUAAUUCCACAUUUAUUAAUAGACCAGUUAUAGUUGUCAUGCACGCGAUAAACAACCAACCUUUCCUUAAUUUCUCGAUAGUUAAGGUACGACCGUUAACUAUUUCUCUAACCCAAAAACAACCCUAGGUACGACCAUAGGAUUUAAUUUCUAGAUUGCAUUAAUAAUUAGAAAGGCCCAAUCCUAACUAACAAACACGCUACGAGGGUUCGUUUAAGUUAGAUCGUAUGCUCCCCUGACAUAAACCCAAUUACGCCAGUUGCUACUGAGAUAAAGAUAACGAACAAUUACGGAUUCAAUUAUCCUUAUUUAGCAAAAUAGCCUAUGUGAAUAAUUAAAUAUUGCGCAUCUAUUCAAUCACUCACACGAGCUAUAACGGUUAAAAGCAGGAAACAUAUAAAUACCAAUAAAUUAAGGAAGCAAUUAAAAUAAAAUAGAUCUCACAGUAAUUGUUGAACCAAAUCUUCAGUUGUCCCCUUGACUAGAAAAACUUAGCUACGCCCCAUGAGAAAAUCUUCCCGUUGGGGAAUAUUGUCGAAUACCUGGCGUGUAUCAGAUGCCAGUCAAAAGAAAUAAAACUAGAACUAAACUAAAAAACUAAAAACUAGAGCUGUCUAAAAGGAUCCCCCCUUUUGCUUCUGUACGUCUCCCCUUAAAAAGCCAAAAGAAAGAAACCUAAAAGCUAUUUCCUGUGGUCCCCACACAUGUGGACAAAGCCUCCAAAUUACUUCUUGGUCCAAGUCUCUCUCCGUUGCUUUCUUUGAAAGGCCCAAAUGACUAAAUGCCUUUCACUAGCUUGUGGUCCCCACACAAUUCAAGAGUCCAAGGUCCUUAGAAGUCUCCAUUUUCCCAUAGAAGUCCCCCCUUUUUGGUAAUUUUCUGCUUUGUUCCUGAAAUUAAGUCCCAAUACCAAAUAUAAGUAAAUAUUAAUAAUUAAAACAAUAUUUGGUAAGAAUAAAAGGGGAAAUUAACAAUAAAAUUACUAACAAUUAACAACCUAUCAAUUCCCCCCACACCUAAACCAUGCUUGUCCUCAAGCAUGAGAACAGUAAACAAGCACCGAUAUUUGAUAGUGGCUAUUGCUCUAUCCAACAAAUUGCCAAGAUACCAAGAAAAACAAUAAUCAAGCAUCAAUGGUCAAGUCCAAGAAUCAUCACUCCGGUUAGCUUCUAAACCACAAACUUCUCUAAUUUCAGGUUAACUAAUCUAAGAAAAAGGAAUAACGCAUAACAUUUAUCAGCAAAUGGUCCAACUAUUAACCAAAAUCUCAACAUUAAAUCCAUAAUUCGGCAAGCUGACUAACACAACCUUCACUUUUUUUUAGCACAUUUUUCUACUUUUUUUUUUUUGUUUUGAUUGAUUUUUUUUCUCUUUUUUUUUUUUGUUUUUUUUUUUUCUUUUUUUUUUUUUUUCAAUAGUAACAAAAGACUUAGUCGCUAGCCAUUUAAGCCUUUUGACGCGAACUCCAACAUUGGCAAGAUGAAAGAGCCCGGUUACUCAGCUUCUAUCGCCACGUGACCACGUACUCAUAGGAAUUACUACCUUUUGACGCGAGAAUCAACACUUUUAGGUGCAGAUCCCCGGUUACUCAGUAGUAACUAAUAGCGGAGUACAGUCAAGUUUAUUCAUAGCUAAAAAUAAAAAAACUCAAUAUAACACAACAACCAAAAGAAAACUUGCAUCAGCUAGCCUCAUGUUCAAACAUGGAGAACUAAAGUUAAUAAUCGGACCAAUUUACAUGAAAAUGCCAAUAAUCAUUCCCUAUGUCUAGGAAAGUUAACCAAAAAUUAUAAGAGCCACAUAAUCACUGAUAUUCACCAAAGGAAUGCUCUUGAAUUCAACCACAUUAACUCGACACAUUUUUAUUAUUAAAACUUGGUAAAAGUAGAAAUAGGGGCAACAAUCCAACAUCAAAUUUGGCAGUCAUAGGAGAGCUAGACAGAUAAAUGACAAAAUGUAAACGAAAACUAGACAAAUAACAGACUAAAAAUAAAAGAAAAAUAUCUGAAAACUAAGAACUAGAAAAAGAAACUAGCACAGCUAUCCCCCCCCACACCUAGAUCCUACAUUGUCCUCAAUGGAGGGAAUAAAACAAUUAAAGUGAAGAGGACAAAGAAACUUCCCUCUCGAGUGGCUAAGGGUAUUUGGCAGCUGCGGAGGGAAACCAAUGUGGUGAAGUACAUGCCCCAGUUCUGAGACAUCAUAACUCAAUUCAACCAGCAAAUGCACAACUCUAUCCACCCAAAAUCUCAACAAAGUCUCCAAGUGGAUAGUUAAUUUUCAACUCAGAAGCGGCAAUUCCAGCAAUAGCAGUAUAGAAAGUAGACAAUAACCACACAAUCACAAGUUUUUCCUUUUUAAUCAGGCAGCCAACCAAUUGGAAAUAACAAAUGCUAAUCAAAAUACCCCAACCAGUACCACUGGUGCAAAACGUAGUCCAAAAUCAAUGAAAUAGAUAUAACAGAGCAGAGUAAAUGCUACCUAUGGCCCCCAAUGCAUCAGCUAACAGUAGAAGCUAUACAAUGCCACACUCGCAACAGAUACUCCAACAAAGGCAGCAAAUGAACUCAAUUGCAACGACUACGGAAGGCAAGUGAAAUCAAGAGACUAAACACACCCAGUAAACCAAAAUUAGUUAACCAACUUCAAGAAGCGAUACAGGGGUCACAAUGCCCUUCCGACUCAACAAACAACCCAGAAAUUUGCGCUACUACAGUCCUAACAAUUCAAGCAAUAAGCCCCAAUAUUUAUCCAGUAACCAGUGAAUAAUUCCAAAUCUCCAAAGAAAGUCAACAUAGGGCUAAAAGUAUAAUGGACAAAGCAAUCAGCGGGACCCCAGAUUUAUAAUAGAAUAUCUCGUGAAGCAGCAUUGGAAACAAUGGACAGACCACUCCCAACAAUUGAAGUAAAUUCGUCCAAUUUCAACAGGCAACACAAAUGCCACAAAUUCCACCCAAUUCAACUACAGGAAUCAUCCAAUCACCCCAAAAUUGCAACAAGUGGCUCCAGAUGGCCAAUUAAAUGCACAACUUCACCCACCCCAAAAGAAUUAGCAAUUCCAAGCUAGAAUAAUCCAACCAGUACCACUGGUGGAAAUCACCCAAAUAUGCAUAAGCUACUACCAAAUAUCACCGACUAACACUGAGAAAUUGGGGGGCAAGUGUCGAAUACCUCCACUGGGACUACCCCAGGCGGCAGACAGAGAAGCGGCGUUGAAGUUGGUGGUGGAUGGCUGCGUCCGUGCGCAGAGCAUGGCUGCUGGACAGAGGCUGCUGCACGUCCCUGUGGGCUCGUCGCCACUUGCGGAGGGAGUCGCGUGGGGCUUUAGUAGCGGCGGCGCAGAGGCUGGGCCGCGGCUUAGUGGCGCGCCGGGGUCGCGGGCUGCGCGCGAUCUGGUGGAGAGCAGCGGAGAGCGGCGGCGGGGCGCGCGAUUGAGUUGAGGAAGGGGGUGGCGCGCGGUGGAGUUUGAGAUGGCGGUGGGCACGAGCGGCGGACAGAGCGAACAAAGGAGAAGAAAGAAAGAAAAGAGAAAGAAAGAAAAAGAAAGGAAAGAAAGAAAAGAAAAGAAGGAAAAAAUUUUUUUUUUUUGUUUGUUUGUUUUUGUUUUUGUUUUUUCUUGAUAAUUGAGAAAAUUUUUUUUUUUUUUUUUUUGAUAAUUGAGAAACCAAGCUACGGUUGAGAAAAUUUCUCUUUUUUUUUUUUUUUUUUAAUCCUUACCUUUCCCGCGAACGUGACGCGGGCACGCCAUGCGGGCAAGAGAGCUCCCAGAAGUUUCUGCUCGUGAGCUAUCUGCACGUCACCACGCGGGCACGUCAUGAGGGCAAGAGAGCUCCCAGAAGUUCAGAAAUUCCUGAUCGUGAGCUUCCUGCACAUCAUCACGCGGGCGCGUCAUGGGUGAAGGUCACUUACAAAUCAGCAAAGACGAAGAUCAACACCCAAAAUCAGUCAAAUUAAAGGGAAAACAGAUUUAAACUAUGUCACUAAACCAAUAAGCAAUUGAAAGAAAUAAUUGGGCUGCCUCCCAAUGAGCGCCUUUCUUUUAUGUCUUUGGCUAGACAUGGUCAUGUUUUGUUCAUGGAGGAUAAAAUCUUGUGGCUCGUCUUAAUGCUUCAUCUUCAAUGUGAUCCUGGUAACCCUCAUAGAUGGAGUAAUCUUUGAGCACACGAGCUACAGUCUUCCAUGGAUUAGUUGAUGGCGCCAAAUAAUCAAGCAGUGAUCUCAAUUUUUCCUCCACCCCUCCAUCAAGAGCACUCAACGGUUCAAGAUAUUUGACCAUAGCUACUCUUAACUUAUUUCUGCCAUGAGACUCAAAAACUUCCGAUAUAACAAAAUCAAUCUCAUUAACAGAAAUCAUGGAAUAAGAGUUAAGAAAAUGCGGGUUAGGGAAUGGAGGUGGUGUCACCACAUUUGAUGAUUCUUCACUGGAUUCUUUCACUUCAAUGGGUUGCGGUUGGGGUUCCAUUUCUUCAUUUUCGGCUUCUUUUUCAACUGCAUCUGUAGACUUCUCAUUUUGACAUUCUUGCAUCUCCUCAUCCUUGUCCUUAGGGAUCACAGGCUCAGGCCCUUGAACCUCUUUCCCACUCCUUAGGGUCAUUGCGCUCACGUUCUUCGGAUUCAACUCCGGUUGAGAUGGCAAUUCACCUUGGUUCUGGGAAUCCAAACGAUUGAUUGUUGUAGCCAUUUGACUUAUCUGAUUCCUUAUACCCUGCAUUUCGGAGUCCGUCCUUUGUUGAUUUUGCAUAAGAAUUGCCUCCGUCCUUUGCUGAUUUUGCGCCAUGUUUGUCAUCAUUUGUUUUAUCAUCUCAUCCAAAGAUGGACCAGAGCUUGGGGGCGGAGGUGGUCGGGGUUGGUAUUGCUGCUGGUACCCUGACAGGGAAGAUGGUUGUUGAGACUCUUGCUGUUGAAAAUCCAUUGGCCCGGUCGCAUAAUCAAAACUGGAAUUAUCCCACCAUCCUUGAUCAUACCCGUUUGAAUAAGGGUCAUACUGCAUUUGAUAUUGGGGUGAAAAAUCUCCAAAAGUAUCAAUUGGAGCACUUAGAUUGUCUUGAAAUGCGGGGCUUGUGUCAGUUGAAUAACCUGAGUCAAAAUAAGUUCCACAAUUUGCAACAGCCCAUUGAUCAUUAGGAAAAACAUGAGUCUCAUAACCCCAUUCAGGAACAAAGUCCAGUCUAUCAUCAAAAUAUGGAAUAUUAGCAGCCAUAAACUAUAUAAAAAAAAAUAAGAGAAAAAUAAAUUAAAAAUGAAAACAAGGUGAACUCAAAAAGAAACAAAUUAAUCUGACACCAGUCCCCGGCAGCGGCGCCAAAAAUUGACAGGUGCCGAACCUGUGCAAUAAUAAAUACCUACUCGAGAAAAAUACAGAUUUUGUAUAUAGCGGUGAGUAGGGUCGAAUCCACAGGGACUGGGGAUAAUUCGUUUCUUUUAGAGUCCAAAGUAUGGGGGGUUUUGGAUUGAAUGCUAACUAAAUAAAUUAACUGCAGAAAAUAAUUAAUUAAAAGAGAUAAUUGGAGAAACUCUAGCCAAGGGUACACUUCAGAAAUGGUUCAUGCACUGAUCAUUGAUUCACAGAUAAUUCCACAUUUAUUAAUAGACCAGUUAUAGUUGUCAUGCACGCAAUAAACAACCAACCUUUCCUUAAUUUCUCGAUAGUUAAGGUACGACCGUUAACUAUUUCUCUAACCCAAAAACAACCCUACGUACGACCAUAGGAUUUAAUUUCUAGAUUGCAUUAAUAAUUAGAAAGACCCAAUCCUAACUAACAAACACGCUACGAGGGUUCGUUUAAGUUAGAUCGUAUGCUCCCCUGACAUAAACCCAAUUACGCCAGUUGCUACUGAGAUAAAGAUAACGAACAAUUACGGAUUCAAUUAUCCUUAUUUAGCAAAAUAGCCUAUGUGAAUAAUUAAAUAUUGCGCAUCUAUUCAAUCACUCACACGAGCUAUAACGGUUAAAAGCAGGAAACAUAUAAAUACCAAUAAAUUAAGGAAGCAAUUAAAAUAAAAUAGAUCUCACAGUAAUUAUUGAACCAAAUCUUCAGUUGUCCCCUUGACUAGAAAAACUUAGCUACGCCCCAUGAGAAAAUCUUCCCGUUGGGGAAUAUUGUCGAAUACCUGGCGUGUAUCAGAUGCCAGUCAAAAGAAAUAAAACUAGAACUAAACUAAAAAACUAAAAACUAGAGCUGUCUAAAAGGAUCCCCCCUUUUGCUUCUGUACGUCUCCCCUUAAAAAGCCAAAAGAAAGAAACCUAAAAGCUAUUUCCUGUGGUCCCCACACAUGUGGACAAAGCCUCCAAAUUACUUCUUGGUCCAAGUCUCUCUCCGUUGCUUUCUUUGAAAGGCCCAAAUGACUAAAUGCCUUUCACUAGCUUGUGGUCCCCACACAAUUCAAGAGUCCAAGGUCCUUAGAAGUCUCCAUUUUCCCAUAGAAGUCCCCCCUUUUUGGUAAUUUUCUGCUUUGUUCCUGAAAUUAAGUCCCAAUACCAAAUAUAAGUAAAUAUUAAUAAUUAAAACAAUAUUUGGUAAGAAUAAAAGGGGAAAUUAACAAUAAAAUUACUAACAAUUAACAACCUAUCAGGAACCAUGGCCAUGCCUACCUAUAGGGAUAAGGAAAUAAAAUUUUGAUAGAUCUGAGAGAACUAGUGGUUAAGAAUAAGAAUAGUGCGUAGCUUUCAAAGUCACAUGGCCUGUAACAUUUCUAAAGUUGCGAGAGAGAAAGGAAGAACACAAAAGCAUUAAUUAAGCCAAGUAGAUGUGCUGAAGCUUUAAAUGGAAGCAU
rnacentral:lncRNA from 1 species